CCUUCACUCCUCCCCUCUCCUCUCCCUUUCCUCUCCUCUCCCAGAUCCAGAGACGUCGACGGGCGACGGCUCCGGCUCCGGCUCCGGCCCCGGCCCCGGCCGCGCCUCCACUUCCUCCUACCCUACCCACCCGCGGCGCGCGUACCUCUCACGGGGCUCCUCACGCUCACCCGCCCCCGACUCCCCGACUCCUACUCCUCACCUCCCUCGCCCGCAUUGCUGGCCCAAACCCUGGCUGCCGGGCACGCACCAUGCUGGAGGCCCAACCCGCCUCGUCGAGGAGGCGCACACGGUCAUGGCGUCAUCCCCAACCCUCGCAUCCACAGGAGCAGAGGUAGGGGAAGCGCAAGUUGCCGGGCUUCUUCCCCAUGGCCCCAUCCCCUGCGAGGAAGGCCGACGCCCCAGCCCUCCUUCCCUCGAACACUGGUGCCGUCCUCCACACAUCUAGCACCACCCGGUUCACGCGACGAAUGUUGGCGGCGGGUGGAGCGAUCUCCCCAAGGACGGCUGGGGAGCAGAUCGAUGGUGCCUUCGCUUCUUCUCCGUGCUCUCUGGGUAUUGGUGGUUGAUUUCGGCUUCCUCUUCAGAUCGGUGGGAAGGAAACAUCCGAACUUGCAUUGUUCAGAUUGAUUGAAUUCACGUUCUCUAGCUAGGGCUUUUCGACUUGAAGAAGGUGUGUGGCUAGGAGUGAUCUAUUCUGAACCUUUCUUGCUGGGAUGGGUGCUCGAUCCAUCUAAUUUCAUUAGGUGCAGGAUAGAUUUUUUUGGUGAGGUUAAUAUCUGAUGCUUGCUGUUAGUCUAACUGAACGAAAAUUUUAUAUUAUAAUAGACAUUGUUCAGUUAUAAGUCGGAUACAUAUACAGCACAUAUGAGCCCCUUUGUCUGCCUUUGUCUCUGCUGGAGUAGAUAGCACCACUGAAAUUGAUCUCUGGUAUUUUUUAUUCAAUUUAUUUUCACAUAUGUGCAACAUUCAGAAAAAAAAGAUACGCGGAUACUUCGCAAAACUCACGUACUGGUAUCGGAUACUGUAUCGGAUAUCCGUACACCACUGAUACUCCCGGAUACGUAUCCCGUAAGUAUCAGACUAUUUAGGUAUUUUCAAAUAAUAAAAAUAAAUCGGAUACUCGUGGGAUACCUGUGGAUACAUGUCCGAUACUUUCAAACCCUAACAUCACCAUUCAAUCGCUUCGUAUAAAGGUCCUUCGUUCAGCUGUGCCACCCUCUCAUCCCCACUCGCGCAGCCGCAGGCCCGCAGCAGCCUCGCACGGCUCCCUUGCUGUCACCUCUGCUCGACCACCCACCCACGCCUCCUCCUGCUCCUUCCUCGCUGCUCAUCGCUCCCUUGCCGUCACCGCCGCCCGGCCACCCGCUCGUGCCUCCUCCUGCUCCUUCCCCAUCGCUCGUCGCUCCCUUGCCGUCACCUCCGCCCACCCGUCCGUGCCUCCUACUGCUCCAGCGGCUGCGCGGCCUGUCCAGACAGAGGCCCGCACAUCUGUUAAAGCACUAUUUAGGGGUGGUGCUGCGCUGCUGGAGCUUGCCGCUGGCGGGCCGCCACGGCCGCCGGAGUGCGCCUCUGGACGGCCCGCGCGGCCGCUAGAGAGGGAGAGGAUGAGCCGCGGCCUCCGGAGAGGGAGAGGAGGAGCCGCGGCCGCCGGAGUUGGCCGCUACACAGAGAAAGAGAGAGAGAGAGAGAGAGUGAGUGCCGGAGGUUAGGGAAGAAGACGAUCGACAUCCAUUCGUGGAACAGACGAACAGGUUGGGCACUUAUGGUUUGGCUGAAUCGCAAAUAGAGGGGGGUGGAAAUUGUCAGAACUCAUGUGCAUCAAUUAUUGUUUGUUCGUGACUUACAAGUGGAGAAGUGCCUUUGAGCCUAUCAUUCAGAAGUGCCUUUUGAGCCUAUCAUUCAGAUAAGUUUCCAAUUCAUUCCAAGGCAUUGUAAUUAUUAUACAUUUAUUCAGUUUUUCAAUCAGUUUGAGUAGAAUCAUGUUUAAGCUGCAUUAGAAGUUCUUUCCCCUGUUGGGAUCUGUUUUUUUUUUCACUUACCUCUUUUCAUAAUUUGGAUAUCCUUGUUAUUUUUAGCACGGCAUUAUCUUGGAUGUGGUAGGUUCCAACACUUGAAGAUAAACUUACCUCUUUUCAUAAUUUGGAUAUCAUUGUUAUUUUUAGCACUGCAUCAUGUUAUUCUGAAGUUUCAACUUACCUAUUCAUAACUAAAUAUUUGAACUAGUAGUCGGAAUCAGUUCCAGAAUUAGCUAGGUUUAGGAUCAUGGAUGCUAAUUUUUGUUUCUGAAUCUCUCUUGUUGAAAUCUGUAGGAUAGUAUGAGGUGUUGGCGUGGCUAUAAGGAGGACUCGAGUUCUUUGCUGCUCUCAGUGUGCCCGUCACUGUGAAUGACAAGGCCUCCAAGAUCCCAUUUGCUGUGGUGCUCUUUGCAGAGAUGAUUAUGUGACAUAUGCUACUGGACUUCUGGAUCAAACUAUCAGAUGAUCCAGUAAGUAGUAUUCACCAGCAUGGCUCAAAGUGAAAAGUCAAGGUUUAGUUUAGAAUGGCAUGAGGUCCAUCUUAUGUACUAAUUCAGAUUAGUAGUGUUAGGAUCUAUUGAAAAUAAGGUAGCAGAUUAGAGGAGACGAUGUAUAUAUGAGCACAAAUGUAUGGAUAGAUGUAUGUAUGUGUGAUAAGAGGAGGCACUAUGAUGUAUAUGUGGCCUAUUUUUUUGUUAAUUUUCGUCACCUA